UACGAAGGGAGCUAGCGUUGUUCGGAAUUACUGGGCGUAAAGGGCGCGUAGGCGGCUCUUUUAGUCAGGCGUGAAAGCCCCGGGCUUAACCUGGGAACAGCGUUUGAUACUGGAGAGCUUGAGUGUGGGAGAGGUUGGUGGAAUUCCCAGUGUAGAGGUGAAAUUCGUAGAUAUUGGGAAGAACCCCGGUGGCGAAGGCGGCCAACUGGACCACAACUGACGCUGAGGCGCGAAAGCGUGGGGAGCAAACAGG
rnacentral:rRNA from 1 species